rnacentral:rRNA from 1 species
GACGAACGCUGGCGGCGUGCUUAACACAUGCAAGUCGAACGGUGAAGGGGUCUGCUUUUGUGGGCCCUGGAUGAGUGGCGAACGGGUGAGUAACACGUGAGUAACCUGCCCCCUUCUUCUGGAUAACCGCAUGAAAGUGUGGCUAAUACGGGAUAUUCUGGGUCUGUCGCAUGAUGGGUCUGGGAAAGAUUGCGCCUUUGGGUGUUUUUGGUGGGGGAUGGGCUCGCGGCCUAUCAGCUUGUUGGUGGGGUGAUGGCCUACCAAGGCGGUGACGGGUAGCCGGCCUGAGAGGGUGGACGGUGAGACGGGGACUGAGACACGGCCGAGAGUCCUACGGGAGGCAGCAGUGGGGAAUAUUGCACAAUGGGCGCAAGCCUGAUGGAGCGACGCCGCGUGAGGGAGGGAGGCCUUCGGGUUGUAAACCUCUUUCGCCAGUGAAGCAGGCCUGCUCCGUGUGGGUGGGUUGACGGUAGCUGGAUAAGAAGCGCCGGCUAACUACGUG